rfam:Loxodonta africana unplaced genomic scaffold scaffold_11, whole genome shotgun sequence.
CCAAAGGCUCUUUUCAGAGCCACCCACAGCAGCAUUGGAAAGCAG